AAUAAAUCUAUUUUUCAACUUUUAGAUACAAUGUUUUGACUCUUCGUUUUAUUUAAUUUUUUUGCAAUUAAUAUUUUUAUUGUUACUAGAUGAUAAAAUAUAAAUAGUAAUUUACAUGUGGCUAAUUUUUUUAAGUUUUUUUACAAAUUUUUCAAAUAAGACGAAUGGUCAAAAAGUUAAACACAGAAAUCGAAAAAUAAAGUUAUU
rnacentral:pre_miRNA from 1 species